GACGAACGCUGGCGGCGUGCUUAACACAUGCAAGUCGAACGGAAAGGCCUCUUUCGGGGGGUACUCGAGUGGCGAACGGGUGAGUAACACGUGAGUAACCUGCCCUUGACUUUGGGAUAACUUCAGGAAACUGGGGCUAAUACCUGAUAGGAGCUCCUGCUGCAUGGUGGGGGUUGGAAAGUUUCGGCGGUUGGGGAUGGACUCGCGGCUUAUCAGCUUGUUGGUGGGGUAGUGGCUUACCAAGGCUUUGACGGGUAGCCGGCCUGAGAGGGUGACCGGCCACAUUGGGACUGAGAUACGGCCCAGACUCCUACGGGAGGCAGCAGUGGGGAAUAUUGCACAAUGGGCGGAAGCCUGAUGCAGCAACGCCGCGUGCGGGAUGACGGCCUUCGGGUUGUAAACCGCUUUCGCCUGUGACGAAGCGUGAGUGACGGUAAUGGGUAAAGAAGCACCGGCUAACUACGUG
rnacentral:rRNA from 1 species